CACACUCAUGUUCUUCUCGCUUCUCUUGGUCAUGUUUGCGAGUACCACAGAGUCCAGAAAAGAAUUGAAA